rnacentral:rRNA from 1 species
AGCAGCCGCGGUAAUUCCAGCUCCAAUAGCGUAUAUUAAAGUUGUUGCAGUUAAAAAGCUCGUAGUUGAAUUUCGGGGUUAGUAGGUUGGUCAUGCCUCUGGUAUGUACUGAUCUCACUGAUUCCUCCUUCCUUAUGAACCGUAAUGCCAUUAAUUUGGUGUUGCGGGGAAUUUGGACUGUUACUUUGAAAAAUUAGAGUGUUUAAAGCAAGCUAACGCUUGAAUACAUUAGCAUGGAAUAAUGAAAUAGGACGUUCGAUCUUAUUUUGUUGGUUUCUAGGAUUGAUGUAAUGAUUAAUAGGGAUAGUUGGGGGCAUUAGUAUUCAAUUGUCAGAGGUGAAAUUCUUGGAUUUAUUGAAGACUAACUACUGCGAAAGCAUUUGCCAAGGAUGUUUUCAUUAAUCAAGAACGAAAGUUAGGGGAUCGAAGACGAUCAGAUACCGUCGUAGUCUUAACCAUAAACUAUGCCGACUAGGGAUCGGAUGAUGUAAUUUUUAAUGACUCAUUCGGCGCCUUAAC